rnacentral:lncRNA from 1 species
UCAAUGACUCUUGGGAAGCUCUUCACCAGAGGAUAUUGUGACAUCAUAUCCCAAUGCCUCUUUUCUUGUGAAUAACUAGCUCUGCUAAGAAUAAGGCAUCCUGAAGAUAGAUACUAUGGUUGGAAGAGGAAACUGGGGGACCCUGGAUCUAGGAACUUGACUCAGCUGAACAGAUCACUCACGAUGGCCUCUGCCUGAUGGGAUCUAUCCCAAAGCCCACCGACACGGAAGAGAAGCACAAAGGACAAGAAGUGACCCCAGGUGCCUUGCUUCCACUUUAUCCAUAUGCAUCUGCCAACAGUUAUGUAAGCAUAAAGGAAGCAUGAAGAAAAGGCGCCAUUUGAUCACUCAAGAUUCAUAUACUUCCAAAAUGACAUCACAAGCUUGGUGUCUGUAUCUUCACUGUGUCUAGUGUAUCUGAAUGUGCCUCCCCUUGUGUAUGCUCAGCACAGUG